rnacentral:rRNA from 1 species
AGCGAACGCUGGCGGCAGGCUUAACACAUGCAAGUCGAGCGGGUGUAGCAAUACAUCAGCGGCAGACGGGUGAGUAACGCGUGGGAACGUACCUUUUGGUUCGGAACAACACAGGGAAACUUGUGCUAAUACCGGAUAAGCCCUUACGGGGAAAGAUUUAUCGCCGAAAGAUCGGCCCGCGUCUGAUUAGCUAGUUGGUAGGGUAACGGCCUACCAAGGCGACGAGCAGUAGCUGGUCGGAGAGGAUGCUCAGCCACAUUGGGACUGAGACACGGCCCAACCUCCUACGGGAGGCAGCAGUGGGGAAUAUUGGACAAUGGGUGCAACCCUGAUCCAGCCAUGCCGCGUGAGUGAUGAAGGCCCUAGGGUUGUAAAGCUCUUUUGUGCGGGAAGAUAAUGACGGUACCGCAAGAAUAAGCCCCGGCUAACUUCGUGCCAGCCGCCGCAGUAACAC